CCAAUAGCGUAUAUUAAAGUUGUUGCAGUUAAAAAGCUCGUAGUUGAAUUUCGGGGUUAGUAGGUUGGUCAUGCCUCUGGUAUGUACUGGUCUCACUGAUUCCUCCUUCCUGAUGAACCUUAAUGCCAUUAAUUUGGUGUUUUGGGGAAUUUGGACUGUUACUUUGAAAAAAUUAGAGUGUUUAAAGCAAGCUAACGCUUGAAUACAUUA
rnacentral:rRNA from 1 species